rnacentral:rRNA from 1 species
UACAGAGGUCCCAAGCGUUGUUCGGAUUCAUUGGGCGUAAAGGGUGUGUAGGUGGCGCUGUAAGUCGGGUGUGAAAUUUCGGAGCUUAACUCCGAAACUGCAUUCGAUACUGCGGUGCUUGAGGACUGGAGAGGAGACUGGAAUUCAUGGUGUAGCAGUGAAAUGCGUAGAGAUCAUGAGGAAGACCAGUGGCGAAGGCGGGUCUCUGGACAGUUCCUGACGCUGAGGCACGAAGGCCAGGGGAGCAAACAGG